rnacentral:rRNA from 1 species
AUUGAACGCUGGCAGCAGGCCUAACACAUGCAAGUCGAACGAGUGGCGGACGGGUGAGUAAUGUCUGGGCAACUGCACGAUGGAGGGGGAUAACUACUGGAAACGGUAGCUAAUCCCGCAUACCACGGGAUGUGCCGAGAUGGGAUUAGCUAGUAGGUGGGGUAACGGCUCACCUAGGCGACGAUCCUUAGCUGGUCGGAGAGGAUGACCAGCCACACUGGAAUUGAGACACGGUCCAGACUCCGACGGGAGGCAGCAGUGGGGAAUAGUGCACAAUGGGCGCAAGUCUGAUGGAGCCAUGCCGCGUGUGUGAAGAAGGCCUUCGGGUUGUAAAGCACUUUCAGCUGGGAGGCGUUACCCGCAGAAGAAGCACCGGCUAACUCCGUGCCAGCAGCCGCGGUAAUUC